UGCGCGGCUAGGCUGAUCCCCGAAAGCCGGAUUUCGCACCCGGUUGCCGCGCAUUCCUCUCGUGCGA
rfam:Hyphomicrobium nitrativorans NL23, complete genome.